GGUGGUCCCAGGCUGAGCAGAGGCAGAUGGCCAAAGGAAUGUUCCCUGCUUCCUGAGAGGCAUGCGGAGAGCCCAGAGGCCCCGCCCACCAAGCCUAGAUGCCACCGUGGGACCUGCGGUGCCUGAGGUUGAGCCUUGUUUUCCGCUGUUAACAGUUAAUGGAGAUAAGUUUUGGCUCUGCAGCUCCAAGCAAGGGUCAAUCACCCGAAUAACACUUGGGCCAGGAGAGGGCAGGAAUGGAAGAAAACAUUUCUGAUGCUUGUUCAUCCUGAAAUACCUGGGUCAGACUGUUGACUCUGUGGAUGCUGCCAGAAUUCAUCUCAGAGAGAGGCAAGCACAGAGAAAUAUUCCAACCUAGCGGAACCAUCACGAAACCUGCACUCCACAGAGUGGGCAUUGUGAUCCCCACUUAAGAGAUGAAGAAACCAAGGCUCAGAGAGGUGAAGGAACUUCUCCAGGAUCACAUGUACUUGCAGGGACAGCCAGGGUUUACCCCACGUUUCUCUGUAAAGUCCAUGUGUUUCCUUCUGCCUCACACUGUCAUCCCAAGUCCAAAAAGGCAAAGACUCAGAGCCAUGUCUAUAGUUACAUGUGUCCAGGGCUGCAAUCCUCGGAAGUGGACAGUCUCUUCAUUCAGGAGUUGCUCUGCAGAAGUUGGUUUCCAUUUCCUCUGGCUGAGCCAGGGCCAGCGGAGCGUAGGGACGGGGCUUCCGUGUCCUUGCUCUGCUGUGUGCUCUGAUGGCUGCGUGUGGCCUGGCCCACAGUAGCUGCUGCUACAAAACAGGCUGCGUUUUAAAUUCCCCAUAGGCAGCAGGGAGGGCCGGGCGGGGAGCGUGUCC